rnacentral:rRNA from 1 species
UCGUGCGAGAAAGUUUCCUUCGGGAGACGAGUAAAGCGGCGCACGGGUGAGUAACACGUAGGUAACCUACCCCAGAGCUUGGAAUAACCCGUCGAAAGAUGGGCUAAUACCGGAUACGACCUCGGUGGCUGCGGCCACUGCGGUGAAAGGUGGCCUCUGCUUGCACGCUACCACUCAGGGAUGGGCCUGCGCGCCAUUAGCUUGUUGGUGAGGUAACGGCUCACCAAGGCUACGAUGGCUAGCUGGUCUGAGAGGAUGAUCAGCCACACUGGGACUGAAACACGGCCCAGACUCCUACGGGAGGCAGCAGUGGGGGAUAUUGCGCAAUGGACGAAAGCCUGACGCAGCGACGCCGCGUGGGUGAUGAAGGCCUUCGGGUCGUAAAGCCCUGUCGAGGGGGAAGAAAUGGUCGGGGCCCAAUACGCCUCGCCUUUGACGGUACCCCUAAAGGAAGCACCGGCUAACUCCGUGCCAGCAGCCGCGGUAAUACGGAGGGUGCAAGGGUUGUUCGGAAUCACUGGGCGUAAAGCGCGUGUAGGCGGCUCGUUAAGUCUGUUG